UGCAUGGGUAUUAAGAUCACAAGUGGGU
rnacentral:piRNA from 1 species